rnacentral:sRNA from 1 species
AAAGACCAACAACUUCA